rnacentral:rRNA from 1 species
UCGAGAAUCUUCGGCAGUGGACGCAAGUCUGACCGAGCGACGCCGCGUGUGUGAAGAAGGCCCUCGGGUUGUAAAGCACUGUCAGAGGGGAUCAAAGCUUCGGCUUGAGAGAUCCUCAAAGGAAGCACGGGCUAAGUUCGUGCCAGCAGCCGCGGUAAGACGAACCGUGCGAACGUUGUUCGGAAUCACUGGGCUUAAAGGGCGCGUAGGCGGAGAGGUCAGUCGGAGGUGAAAUCCUGCAGCUCAACUGUAGAACUGCCUUCGAAACUGCCUGUCUCGAGGGAGGUAGGGGCAUGUGGAACUUCCGGUGGAGCGGUGAAAUGCGUAGAGAUCGGAAGGAACGCCGGUGGCGAAAGCGACGUGCUGGACCUCUUCUGACGCUGAGGCGCGAAAGCUAGGGUAGCGAACGGGAUUAGAUACCCGCGUAGUCC